rnacentral:rRNA from 1 species
AUUGAACGCUGGCGGCAGGCUUAACACAUGCAAGUCGAGCGAGCGGCGGACGGGUGAGUAAUUUCUGGGUACCUGCCUGAUGGAGGGGGAUAACUACUGGAAACGGUAGCUAAUACCGCAUACCAUUACAUGUUCCCAGAUGUGCUUAGUGAGUAGGUGUGGUAAUGGCUCACCUAGGCGACGAUCCCUAUCUGGUCUGAGAGGAUGACCAGCCAGACUGGAAGUGAGAUACGGUCCAGACUCCUGAGGGAGGCAGCAGUGGGGAAUAUUGCGCAAUGGGUGCAAGGCUGAUGGAGCCAUGCGGCGUGGGUGAAGAAGGCCUUCGGGUUGUAAAGCACUUUCAGCGAGGAGGCGUUACGCGCAGAAGAAGCACCGGCUAACGCCGUGCCAGCAGCCGCGGUAAUAC